UAAUAUUUUAGAUUUGGUAGAAUUUACUACUUCAUAUUUAUCAUAAGAUUUAUAUUGAGAUUAAGUACUGUUAUUUAUUCAUUAAGAAUCAUUAUUUUUAUUAUAACACAAGCUAAGGCACCUGUCCUUUUUCCAAGGGCGUAAAGAUUGAAUGUAGGGCUUCAACUAAUAAAUUAAAUCAAGAAUUUGUAUUUAUAUGCAUAAUUUACUUCACAACUACUUUAUUUCACACCUAUCUUAUUCCACAUUACAGAAAUGGUGUGACAGUUACUUUACUUUGUUACUUUUACUAAUCCUUCUCAGUGUUUGUUCACUCUCUCAGCGAUUCUUGAUACACAACAUUAGAAGUUCUUCCUUCCUCCUGGGCCAAAAUAAGGAGAUUUCUUGGUGAUCCUACUCUUGAACAUCCAAUACAGAAUUGAUCAUGUGAAAAGGAAGAGGUUUUCAGAUGUAGUCCUGUCACUUUAAGGGUUUAACCUUGUGUUUUUGUUGCCAUUUUUCCUAGAAAGUAUGUGAAUGUUUGACAUAUUUUAAGGAAGAACUCAGAUUUUUCCUGAAAAAACUAGAAAAAAACUUUUGAAGAAAAAUCUCAAAAUAAAAAUUGGUCCAAUACUGUGGAGUCAUUAGCUAAACAAACAUAUUUUUGCUGUGAGCUUGAUCCAGGGUAGGUGUGGUUGGGUAAUAACCAUCUUAUGAUAUCUCCUUGGUCCAGUUUAUCACCAUAUCAAGUUUGGUUGAGAUUGGUCCAAAGACCAUGGAAUAGUUCACGGACAAACAAACAAUUUUUUUACUUUUAUAAGUAUAGAUACAUGUAUUAGCAUGCAUCAUUAUAACUUUGCUAUUAUUGUUUUGAUAGGUGAAGCCUGUUUUGGCAGGAUUCAUAGAGAAUUACUUGCUACAAGCAAAUAGAUCUAGGUCUAACAUGAAUGAAUAAAAUUGCCUUUAGAAGACUGACGUCUACAUGAUAGCCUACAUUUAGUUUGGCAAUAUUGGAUGUCCAAUACAUUGUUAGGUUUUGCAUUAUUUAGGAAUUUCUUUUUGCCAAUCACUGGUCUCAAUGCAGAAAUGCAAACAUAGGCAUGUAGAAUUUGUACAGUUACUAUGUAUGUAACAUGAUGUAUGUGCUGCACAUGCUCUGAAGCACAAAAACCUGACAUCUCAUAAAUUAUGGACAAUUUUAGUUAUGCUGUAGACCUAAUAAAAGAUUAAAUGAAAUAUUUAUUGGUGUGAGUUAUCACAUAUUAUAUUACUUUAACAAAUGUUGGAUGCAGAUUUAUCACUUUCUUUCAUAGCUGGCACGAGCAUACAGAAGUAUAAUGAGAGGUAAUGUCAACACAAGUUAAACCCAGACUUAGGGCUAACAAAUGCUGAUAUGGAUGUGCAAGCAGCAAUAGAUGAAGAUUUAAUGGAAAAGUAAAUAUGUCUACAGCUGAAAGCAACAAUGUUGUGGAGCUAAUAAUGUAACAGAAUGGGGACAGUAUUUGGAUGAUGGCAAGCUACCUUAUAGUUGCUGUGCAGGAAAGAACCCCACUAAAACAUGUAAUCUGUCUGAUAAUCAUUACAGAACUGGAUGCAUUGAUGCCUUGUCUAGAUUUCUGGAAGGCAAAAUCCUGAUUGUUGGAGGUACUGGCAUUGGGAUUGUCUUUGUACAGGUCAUUGGUAUAAUUUUUUUCUGUUGCCUUGCCUGUUCCUAAAAGAUAAUAAGAGUUGGUAUAAAGAAUUGAGGGGCAACAUUCUACUUUGUACAGGCACAAUUUCCUUAAGAUUGUUUCCAUAAUGCUCGGGAAGUGGCUUUGGUUUAAUCAUUCUUCAUGAUAAUAAAGUUUGUGUUUUCAUGGCUAAUAACUGUACAUACAAAGUGAUCUCAAGACAGUGUCAGAAAAAUUGUACUUGUGUUUGCUUUGUCUGUAAAAAAAGAAGUUUAAAAAGUUGUGUUUUUAACAGGUAAUCACUGUACAUGCAAAGUGAUCUCAAGAGAGCGCGUCAGGAAAACUGUACCUGUGUUUGUUUUGUCUGUAAAGAAGUUUAGAAUGUUGUGUUUUUAAACAGAGAACCUCCGUGUAGACAUAUCUGUAUGAUUAGGAAAACUGUUCGUAUACUUCAGUAUUUGAAUUUUUUGGAAGUAGGAGUUUUCUGGAAAUGUUUCUUAUUAGUCGUUAAUUUUCUAUCAGUUUGCGAUUAGUAACAAUGAUCUUUUUACUUAUUGUGUGAAAAUAUUUCAUAGAAUAAUUGUGUUAAUUUAUGUUGUUGGCUUUUGAAGAAAACUAAGUUUUAUUAAUUUAACCUCACUGUGAUGUGGAAUUGGAAGAACUGUAUAUAUAUAAAAACUUUUAUGAUAAAGAAAGUGUGGUUCCAUUGUAUAACAUUCAUUCAUUUUACUAAUGAAAGAUAAAAGUUUUGUACAUGUUGACUUGUAACUAAUAUUUCUUAUGAAGGUUUAAUGUUGUCAGUUGAAAAAACAUUUAUUUAUUUAUAUACAUUUCUUUUGUUUUCAUAGAUUCUUGAAAAAAGUUUUUAAGCUGAGAUUGAGGAAUAUUUAGUUUUUUUAAUAAAAGUACUAGAAACCAAAGAACAAUCCUGGUUCUGUUCAAAUACAUUUGUAAGGUGAGCUGGAUAUUAAAGAUCAACUGUGAUCUAUUUAGUACUUUAUCUGUCUUUGAAAAUACUAACAUGUUUGGAAAUGGAUCCAGUCUCUAAGCCUGUAGACAUGUACAGAAAUAUUAGAAAAUGAAUCCAGUACACCCUCAAAAUAUGUAGACUCGAAAAUUAGUAUUACUAAUGUAGUACCUAGCACAAUAUGUUAACUUGAUUUGUACAGAUCUUAAUGUAGUCAAUUCUCUGUACCCAUUACUUCUAACAGAUAAUCUUGGCCUAUUUUCAUUCCCACUGAUUUACUCAACUGAGUUUGAUUCCAUACCUUUCAAAAGCACAAUAAAAUGUGCACAUCUGUUCACACUUAUAAUUGCUCACCUGUCUGAAAGCAGUGGUUACAUGCAAUAAUGUAUGAGCAUUUUGCUCAUCUCUCCUGCAGACAUCAAACACUGGUAUAGAAGUGAAGUCUAGACUAAUCUUUCAAGAAAACAGACAGUAGAAGUUAUGAUCUUGAUAGGUGUAUCCAAACAAACUUUAUAUUGCUGUUUGACAAACUGUAGGGGCGAAGUAUCUCUUCUUAGUUUUAAGCUGAAAUCAUUCUACUCCUUAUUGGUAAUUACUCUAGUUGCUGUCGUAUAGUCCAUAGUGUAAACAGCUCUGGCACUCUGUACUGUCAUAAGAAACAGUUACCCGCUUUCAGCAGAUGGAAUUGUUAUGUGGUAACAGUAAUCAAAUAUGAAGACAAAAUGGUGUUCCUAUCUUUCCAGACUUGGAAGCACUUUGGAAAGUAUCUGUCCCACCAACUACUUUGCAUAGUGUAGAUUAAUGAAAGUCUCAGGAGUCAUUGAUUUUCUCAGAAACUGAUUUAAUUCAGCCUAUUGACCGAUUGAGUUACUUUAUCAUUAUUUUAAAGUUUCAUACACUUUUUUUUUAAUAUGGACUUUGAGCUAAAUUAUGUGAAAACCUGGUAUCAAAAUGCAAUGAUGUAUGCAAUCUCUGUCAUAGUUUCAGGAAUACUCACAAGUACAUCAAUAUUUACAGAUGUCAGCCUUUAGCUUGUACUAAUGAGAAAUUAUGGAAUGGAAGGAAAACAAAAGAGACAAAGAAGGAUGAGAAUGAAGAACUUAAAGAAGUUAUAUUUAUAGUUGAUUCUUUGGUAUGACAUGUAAAUAGGACAGACUGUGGGGUAAACAGGAAAAAACAAUUAAGGUUACACUAUCCAGGGGCAGGGGUGGAAGAUGUAACUAACAAAACAAGUGGUAUAUUAAAAGGUGCUAGCAGUGAUGCAAUCUUUAUUGUGUACAUAAAAGACUAAUAUUGAGAGAAGGGUAGGUAAGAGAAGUUAAUUCAUAAGUACAAGGGAUUGAUAAAGACAUUUAAAGAAAAGAGCCAUAAUAACUUACUUCUGUCAGAGAUAAUGCAAGAUUUAACUGUGGAGAUGAAAUUAUAAGUAAGUAACUAGGACUGAAUACUAGGCUUAGGUUAAUAUCAAAGAAAGAGUAGGUUAGCUUUAUGGGAUCAGUUCAAUGGGAAAAAGAGUGUGGCAACUUUAAGCUAGGACUACAGUGGUAAGGACGGUAUAAACUAAAGGAAGAAAAAAUAUAGAGAAAAGUAUAGUGUAGGAACAAAGUAAAGAAAGGGUAGAUAAACUGUUAUUAUUGUAAUGCUAGAUGUAUAAGAAAUAAAAUAUGAGACCUUAGAGCACUAGUUGAAACAUAAUUUUGGUAUAAUGAGAAUAACUGAAACUUGGUUCAAUGCAGACAAUUUUGAUGACAGAAAUUUCUUUGAAAUACAGGGUUAUAAGGUUAGUUAAUAGGGAUAGAGUACUGAAAAAGAGGGGGAGGAGUGGCUUUAUUUACAAAAUAUUUGUUGCAUCCUGUUCAAGUUGAAGAUAUCAACGAUGAUAGCAACGUACUAAAUGUAGCCAUACUAAAAUGAAGGUUAUAAUUACUUGUGCCUUAAAACAUUGUUAAGAAUUUAGAACAUAAAAGAAAUUGGGAAGUCACGUUAACUUUAUAGUAAAUGCAUGGAAGAAGACCUCAGGCUUACUGCUGAGCCAGUGGGGAAGGGGGGGUGGGGGCAAUUACCUCCGUAAUAUACUUUUCUAGUAAUAAAUUUUAAUUCUUGAAUAUAUAGACAUAACAUUUUCAUGUAAACCUAUUUUCAUAUCUGAAAAAUUGAGGUCACAAAUUAAGAGUGAAAUAUGAUGCUUGCUGGUGAAACACACUUGUAAGACAGAAAAAACAGCUUUGGAGGAGAUACUCAUUUAAAUUUUGAACGACAACAACGUGAUACCUUACCCUGUAACAAAAGGUCAUGUUCCAAAGUGAUUACUAUUAAACUACGUGUAAACAUGCUUCUUUCCGAUUAUUUUGUUAAAUGUCUUUUAGUCUCUGAUCCAACUUAAGUUUUCAUACGCUUUGCAAUGCUACUAAUUUUAUAAUAUUUAGUUUGCUUUUUCUUUUGUUACAGCAAAACUGCUUCCUAGUGCUUCAAAGAUGCAUUCUAUUCGUUGUGUUCGCAAUAGUGUAAAAAUUAUUUUAAAUUUUACUAGAAAUUAAAAUACCUUCCUGUUUUACUGAACAAUAGGUCAUAGGUCAAAAUCUUAGAGUUUGGGAACGUGAGUGUAAUUCGUUCAUCAAAUGACCUUUUCUUAAGAACCAAAUCUACCUUCAAUUUCAUAUUUAUUUUUGUUACGUUACAAAAUGUUUGUCUUUGAAUGAAACUAACUCGUAACAAAGAGUAAGUACAACACACACACACACAUAUAUAUACACACACACAUACACGGAGCACAUAUCCAGUAAUCGUUUUACAAUGCCAGAAAUAGGGAUAACAAGUACUCGAAUUUCGGAUAUUAACUAAAACACGUUAACAGAAAACGAGGUUAUUUAAUAGAAUAUAUUACUGUAAAUGCUCAAACGUUUCUGUGAUAUGAGAUGCUAUGAACCACGUAUUUAAUAAUUUACUGUAUCUUAGUAUAUAUAUAUAUUUAGUUAAACUACCGUGCUGACGAUAUUACAUUGCAGACAAAUUCAAACUUAAUGACUUAUUUAAUGAGUUCAUGUAAUACAUGUGCUGUAGAGAAGUAAUAAUGUCUUAGGAAAUAAAUCACUGAGCGAUGGCAAUUUAUUGAUUUAUUUAUAAUCUGUGCUGCUGUGUGAAAAUAUGUAAAUAAUCUAAGCAAACACAAUCGGAAAAAAAUCAACUUCACCACCUAUAGUGGAAUAGACUCGACCAUAAAUUCGUGGGGGCGCAGUCAUGUUAUUCUGAACUUUUCGAAUGCUAUAAACGUAAAUACCAAAGGUUGCCCUUUAAGAAUCGCAGACUGUUGAAAGUGUGGUCAAUUUAUUCUACAGUCAGCUUAUGGUUAGUUCGGAGCGCGAGGAGAGCAUGCCGAUUCUAACUAGAACUUCU
rnacentral:lncRNA from 1 species